rnacentral:rRNA from 1 species
AGGAACGCGAAGAACCUUACCAGGUCUUGACAUCUUCUGCUAACCUAAGAGAUUAGGCGUUCCCAUCGGGGACGGAAUGACAGGUGGUGCAUGGUUGUCGUCAGCUCGUGUCGUGAGAUGUUGGGUUAAGUCCCGCAACGAGCGCAACCCUUAUUGUCAGUUGCCAGCAUUUAGUUGGGCACUCUGGCGAGACUGCCGGUGACAAACCGGAGGAAGGUGGGGAUGACGUCAAAUCAUCAUGCCCCUUAUGACCUGGGCUACACACGUGCUACAAUGGACGGUACAACGAGUCGCGAAACCGCGAGGUCAAGCUAAUCUCUUAAAGCCGUUCUCAGUUCGGAUUGUAGGCUGCAACUCGCCUACAUGAAGUUGGAAUCGCUAGUAAUCGUGGAUCANCAUGCCACGGUGAAUACGUUCCCGGGUCUUGUA